GUUUAAGGAAAUGGAGACAGGCCAGAAGAAGACUUAAUGUUCUGAGUGACCACGAUAGUGCCUCAUGCAAAGGAGACAUUCUACAAAUGUGUUGGGAAUGGAAAGCAGAUAAAGAUGUGAUCGAGAUGAAAGAGAAAAAUGGCAUUUGGAAUUCUCCCUUCAGAGAUCAAAGUUAACAGUAUGGUGAUACGGCAUCCAAGGAAGACAGAAAUAACUGAUUUCAAGACAGCGAAAUUUCUACAAUUUACCAGUUAUUUAAAAGCUAGCAAACAAACAACGGCAUACUCACCUUCAUCUGUUGGGGGAAAAUUAUUUUUUGUCAUUGCUCACUUCAACAUGGGCGCAAUGAGAGAUAAGAGACACUAAGAAAUGAGUGUAGAAAUGAAUAUUUUUGCUCAUUCUGCUAGAAAAUAUAAUACUUAGUAGAAACAGAUUCCUGAAUUGCUACACUUUAAACAUGCAAUCACAUUUUACUAUUAUAUGCUAUACACAUACUCUAAAUGUUGUAAGCUUAAUAUUUCAGAUUGUAUAAGAGAUUUUGAGGCAUGUUAUUGUACAUACAAAUAACAUAAAUAGGGUUACCAUCCUAAUCCAAGGGUUACUUAGAAAAGAAACCAAUACUAUUUUUGAUAUAUUAUUAAUGACAUUGUCUUCUGACAACAUAAUUUCUUAUACACACUGCUUUUACUUUAAAAAUUGUUUCUAGAUAAACAUAAUGUUUUUUCCUCUUUUGCUGUUUUUUUAUUUUUGGAAAAAUUAAAGGCAUCUUUAUGUUUAUUCUUAGAGAUAACUCAGCUUCAUCUUGGCCCACUUUCAAGUAAAAUUCAAAUAAAUUAAUUUGAGGGAUGUCAAAAUGUCUACCAGCCUAAUAACUUAACAACCUCUUAAGAUGCCAGUGGGUUAGAAUAAAAGACCUACAUCGAAGGGAAUGAUGGGGAACAUGGCAGGAGGGAAUUUUGUCUUAAUAUCCUUUCUUAGAAGCAUGCUUUCUGUGCUCAGCUGCAUAGAAACAACUGGCUUCAGGGAGCUACCUUUUACUCAAUCUUUAGAACAGUAUUAUUCAUUCAAUUGCAAUGUUGACUAUUGUAUAUACAAUUGACAUAAGGCCUCAGGACAUUCAGUCUUCUGUUACGGAAUUUAUGGAAUCUGAGCUCUCCUGCUGGGAUCAAGACACCAUCUGUAGGAACUGGUAUUAUGAACCCACCUCUGGGUUACUUUAGAUGGAGCCACGUGGCUCUGGCUCCUAGAUCUCAGCUGUAUCCAUGGCUUAUGCUGAUUUUCCACCUAUAGGGGACUAUGAAAAUUCACUUGUCUUAAUUUCAGAGUGAGACAUAAGUAAGGGUGAUUAGAUUGAUAGCAUCUCCAUUACCAAAUCAAUCAGUCCAUGGCUUGUCAGCAUUCUUUCUAGGGUUUGCAACUUGUCUGAGGCUCAGUUCACUCCUCUAGGAAAUGGAAUGAAGUGAGGGAGGAUAAGAUCAGGCUAUGAUGUGUGGGCCUUUCUCAACAUUAAAGUAGAUCAUUCCCAUCAUUUGAAUUCACUAUUAUGAUUUUAAUUAAAACCUUUGUUAAUAUCUAGAUUGGUAUCUUAUAAAGACAUAGAGAAAAGGAUGGGUUCAUUUCAUCUGAAAGGUUAGGGUUUUCUUUGGUUUGAUAUGUUUAGCUUGGCUUUUAAAAUUCUUGAACAGACUUUAUUUCUGUUCUUAAUGUAUUUUUUCUAUUUUAAUUAUUCUGGCUUUU
rnacentral:lncRNA from 10 species